AUUGAACGCUGGCGGCAGGCCUAACACAUGCAAGUCGAACGAGUGGCGGACGGGUGAGUAAUGUCUGGGAAACUGCCCGAUGGAGGGGGAUAACUACUGGAAACGGUAGCUAAUACCGCAUACCAUCGGAUGUGCCCAGAUGGGAUUAGCUAGUAGGUGGGGUAAUGGCUCACCUAGGCGACGAUCCCUAGCUGGUCUGAGAGGAUGACCACGAAGUCUGGAACUGAUACACGGUCCAGACUCCUACGGGAGGCAGCAGUGAGGAAUAUUGCACAAUGGGCGCAAGCCUGAUGCAGCCAGGCCGCGUGUAUGAAGAAGGCUUUCGGGUUGUAAAGUACUUUCAGCGGGGAGGCGUUACCCGCAGAAGAAGCACCGGCUAACUCCGUGCCAGCAGCCGCGGUAAUAG
rnacentral:rRNA from 1 species